UGGCCAUGGCUUUGCAGAGCACUCUGGGGGCGGUGUGGCUAGGGCUUCUCCUCAACUCUCUCUGGAAGGUUGCAGAAAGCAAGGACCAAGUGUUUCAGCCUUCCACAGUGGCAACUUCGGAGGGAGCUGUUGUGGAAAUCUUCUGUAAUCACUCUGUGUCCAAUGCUUACAACUUCUUCUGGUACCUUCACUUCCCGGGAUGUGCACCAAGACUCCUUGUUAAAGGCUCAAAGCCUUCUCAGCAGGGACGAUACAACAUGACCUAUGAACGGUUCUCUUCAUCGCUGCUUAUCCUCCAGGUGCGGGAGGCAGAUGCUGCUGUUUACUACUGUGCUGUGGAGGACACAGAGGCAGGGAACCCAUGAAGAGCUGAACAGAAACAGAGAUCACAGCCUUUGCAGGAGGCAAAACAGAGAUGAGCAAUAACUUUUUCCUCCUUAAUUCAGUAUUACCCAAGCUUUUUCAUUUGGUACUGCUAUUAGGAAAAAAAAUUGAGUCCAGACAUACUAUAUAUUAACAAAUGUCUAUAAAAAUAUGCUUUUAAUUUUUUUUUGAGACACGGUCUUGCUCUGUCAUACAAGUUGGAGUGCGGUGGCAUGAUCAUAGCUCAUUGUAACCUCGAACUCCAGGGCUCAAGGGUAGCUGGGACUCAACCUUCUGACUAGGUGAGACUAUAGGCAUGUACCACCAUGCCUAGUGAAUUUUCCUCCUUUUUGUAGACACGAGUUCUCUCUGUGUCGUCCAGACUGGUCUCAAACUCCUGGCUUCAAGUGAUUCUCCUGCUUUGGCCUCCAAAAGUGUUGGGAUUACAGGUGUGAGCCAAUGCACCUGGACCAGAAAAUAUGUUUUUAAAGGGUGAUUAUUUCAAAUAGUCUUCCUGAUAUCUGAAACACUUUUGACUCAUUUUCUUGAGAUCUGAUUAGAUUAUUUUUGUUUUUCCCUCAUAAAAUGGCUGAUGAUGAACUUGUGAUAGUAGUAAGAGGCAUGUCCACUCUUCCAUUUUCUUCUCUUUUUUAAAAAUUCAGACAGGCUGGAGUGCAGUGGCAUGAUCAUAGCUCACUGCGGCCUUGAACUUCUGGCCUCCAGUGAUCCUCCUGCCUUGACCUCCCAAAGCACUGGGAUUAUAGGUGUGAGCCACCAAGGCCAGUCAACUCUUUCAUUUUCUUAUUGCUGUCUGUGCUUACCUUUUAAAUACUAUCUGCUAACUUCAGUCUUUUUGCAGCAAUAUUUUCAAAACAUGUCAAUUUGUAAAGGGUGGUUUAGUUAACAUUGGGUAAUGUAAUAAGAAGUGAGAAAGGAAGGAAUAAAUGAGUGGCUGAUACCUACAGCCCUGCAUUUGGAAUCUCAAUCCGUGCCUCAGGAUACUUUGCUUAUAAUCUAGCAUACAGUCCUGUUGAGGGUGCCAGUCAGUGAGUGUAUGAAAUAUUAGUCAAACUGAAUCUCCUUCAUAAUAUUUAAACUAAAAACAAAUGCAAAUGGAAGUAUUUGUACUCAUUGCAGUGCAUUCUUCCCACACUCCUGUUAAUUAGCUUGGUCCUCCCACCCCAGAUGUGUCCCUCCCACUUUAGAGACCAAUGCCUUAGGGUAGCCCAGUGGUUCUUAAUAUAUUUUAUCCUCCUAGAUCAGAAGUUUUGUGAAAAUUGGAUUUGUUUUCUUGGGGGGCCAUAUUCUAGAUAAACUCAAUCAGGGUUUGCAGGGGUGGGACCCAGAAGUCUAUAUUUUCCAUAAAGCUCUGCUGGUGAUUGUUUUGCUCAGCCAGGUUUGAUCUGUGAAUUUCAGAUUUUGGACCCCAGGUGUAUUACUCCAUUCUCACGCUGCAAUAAAGAAAUACCCAAGACUGGGUAAUUUAUAAAGAAAAGAGGUUUAAUUGACUCACAGUUCUGCAUGGCUGGGAAGGUCUCAGGAUACUUACAAUCAUGACGGAAGGCAAAGGGGAAGAAAGGCACCUUCUUCACAGGGCAGCAGGAAGGAGAAGUGCCAGCAGGGGAAGUGCCAGACACGUAUAAAACCAUCAGAUCUCGCGAGAACUCAUUCACUGUCAUGAGAACAGCAUGGGGGAUGCCAUCUCCAUGAUUCAAUUACCUCCCACCGGGUCCCUCCCACAACAUGUGGGGAUUAUUACAAUUCAAGGUGAGAUUUGGAUGGGGACACACAGCCAAACCAUAUUACCAGGCCUUGAGGCUUUAACCACUAUUCUCUACUUCCUUUUAGGUAGAAUUUUAGUAACAGAGAAGGGCUUCAGGAAGUGAACUGUACGGUGCUAUUGCUUGCUUACACAGUAGACUUUCAGCAAAUGUUGACAUUUGGAAUAAAAAGUGAAGGGCAAGAUGGGCAUGAUGGCUUAUACCUGUAAUCCCAACAUUUGGGAGGCGGAGGUGAGAGGAUCCCUUGAGCCCAGGAGUUCGAGACCAGCCUAGUCAACAUAGUGAGACCCUGUCUUUACAAAAAAUAGGAAAAAUUAGCCUGGCAUGUUGGCAUGUGCCUGUAGUCUCAGCUACUUGGGAGGCUAAGGUGGGAGGAUUGAUUGAGCCAGGGAGGUUAAGGCUGCAGUGAGCCAUGAGGGCACCAUUGCACUCCAGCCUGGGUAACAGCAAAACCCUGUCUCAAUUAAAAAUAAAAGUGGCCAGGUGCGGUGGAUCAUGCCUAUAAUCCCAGCACUUUGAGAGGCUAAGGCAGGUGGAUCGCUUGAGCUCAUGAGUUUGACACCAGCCUGGUCAGUACUCAAAAUACCAAAAAUUACCUAGGAGUGGUGUGCACCUGCAGUACCAGCUACUUGGGAGGCUGAGGUGGGAGGAUGGCUUGAGCCCGGGUGACAGAGGUUGUAGUGAGCCAAGAUGGCACCACUGCACUCCAGCCAGGGCAUCAGAGUGAGACCCUGUUU